AUGUUGAAGAAAAAGCUCGGGCUAAAGAUACCACUGAAAAAGGAGGUGAGGAUCAGCCUACUGCUAACAUGGUGUAGAGGUACCCACAGAACAAGAACAAAGGGAAGAACAAACCUGUUUCCAACAAACUUUUCCAAGGAAUGCCCUGAACGUGCAGACCCCAGAGGGAAAACAAGCUCCAAGACUGUCAACAUGGUGACCGCUAGCAAUACUGAUGGGUAUGGUCGCAAGGGAUUCUUCCGUCCUAAUGGGGAAUGGGUCACAUGCUUCUGUUCGUGGCAUUGGCACGGUGGAUCUGAAGUUUACUUCGGGAAAGAUCGUGCAACUAAGGAACAUGUAGCAUGUCCCUACUAUGAACAAGAAUCUAGCUAUGAGUGCGGAGGCUUGUUCCUCUUUUCUCUUUCAGAUUUUUGCAAUAAGUCAAUAAACCAAAUUUGUGCUAGUGUUAAAGAUGAUGCAAGUAUUUGGCACUCUCGUUUAUGUCAUAUUAAUUUUGGUUUAAUGUCUCGGCUAUCCAGCAUGAGUUUAAUUCUGAACUUCACAGUUGCCAAAGGUUCUAAGUGCCAUAGUUGUGUGCAAUCUAAGCAACCUCGAAAGCCUCAUAAGGCUGCCGAGGAGAGAAACUUGGCACCUCUAGAACUCAUACAUUCUGAUCUUUGUGAGAUGAAUGGUGUGUUGACAAAAGGUGGAAAGAGAUAUUUCAUGACUUUGAUUGAUGAUGCGACUAGAUUUUUCUAUGUUUAUUUGUUGCAAACUAAAGAUGAAGCAUUAGACUACUUUAAAAUCUAUAAAGCUGAAGUUGAAAAUCAACUAGAGAGAAAGAUCAAGCGUCUUAGGUCCGAUCGUGGUGGAGAGUAUUUUCCAAAAGUUUUUGAUGAAUUUUGUGAGGAACAUGGUAUUAUUCAUGAGAGGACGCCUCCCUAUUCACCUCAAUCAAAUGGAGUGGCCGAGAGGAAAAACCGCACAUUGACUGACUUGGUGAAUGCCAUGUUAGACACUGCUGGUUUAUCUAAGGCAUGGUGGGGGGAGGCUCUAUUGACUUCAUGUCAUAUCCUGAAUAGAGUUCCCAAUAAUAAUAAAGAGAAAACCCCUUAUGAGGAGUGGGUUGGGAGAAAACCAUCACUUUCUUAUUUGCGCACUUGGGGAUGUUUGGCAAAGGUCAAUAUUCCUAUUCCUAAGAAACGCAAACUUGGACCAAAGACAGUGGAUUGUGUCUUUCUAGGGUAUGCUCAACGGAGCAUUGCUUAUAGGUUUUUAGUGGUAAAAUCUGAAAAGGAUAACAAUGAAGUUCCUAGAAGGAACAAGAGACAAAGGAUUGCAAAAUCCUUUGGUGAUGAUUUCAUUGUAUACCUUGUGGACGACACACCCAAGACGAUUGCAGAAGCAUAUGCAUCUCCGGAUGUAGAUGAUUGGAAAGAAGCUGUUCAUAAUGAGAUGGACUCAAUUCUUUCUAAUGGAACUUGGGCACUAACUGAUAGACCAUAUGGUUGUAAACCUGUGGGCUGUAAGUGGGUGUUCAAAAAGAAGCUAAAGCCUGAUGGUACUAUUGAUAAAUACAAGGCGCGGCUAGUGGCCAAGGGCUACACUCAGAAAGAAGGAGAAGAUUACUUUGACACCUAUUCACCCGUUGCUAGAAUGACCACCAUUCGAGUGUUACUUUCCUUGGCUGCCUCUUAUGGUCUUGUCAUUCAUCAAAUGGAUGUAAAGGCAGCUUUUCUCAAUGGAGAGUUGGAAGAGGAGAUCUAUAUGGAUCAGCCUGACGGGUUUGUGGUAAAGGGUGAAGAGAGAAAGGUGUGCAAGUUGUUAAAAUCUUUGUAUGGUCUGAAACAGGCACCUAAGCAAUGGCAUGAGAAGUUUGAAAGAACUUUGACUUCUGCAGGAUUUGUCAUUAACGAGGCUGAUAGGUGUGUUUACUAUCGCCAUGGUGGGGGCAAUAGUGUCAUAUUAUGUUUGUAUGUGGACGACAUACUGAUCUUUGGUACAAACAUUAAUGCAAUUAAUGAGGUCAAGUUUUUUCUAUCAAAAAGUUUUGACAUGAAAGAUCUGGGAGAAGCCGAUGUAAUUGUAAACAUCAAACUUAUUAAGGAUGAGAGUGGGAUUACAUUAACGCAAUCUCACUAUGUUGAGAAGGUCUUGAACCGAUUCGGUUUUAUGGAUAGCAAGUCUUAUCCAACACCUUAUGAUCCCAGCAUGACACUCAGAAAGAACAAGAAAGAAACGAGAGAUCAAUUAAGAUACUCUCAAAUUGUCGGUUCACUCAUGUACUUAGCUAGCGCUACAAGACCAGAUAUCUCUUUUGCUGUGAGCAAACUGAGUAGGUUCAUGUCCAACCCGGGUGAUGAUCAUUGGCAUGCACUAGAAAGGGUCUUGCGCUAUCUGAGAGGUACUAUGAGUUACAGAAUUACUUAUUCAGGGCAUCCUGCUGUGCUAGAAGGAUAUAGUGAUUCAAAUUGGAUCUCCGAUGUUGAUGUACUUUACGCAACAAGUGGGUAUGUAUUUACUCAUGGUGGUGGCGCAGUGUCAUGGAGGUCUUGCAAGCAAACCAUAUUGACGAGGUCAACUAUGGAAGCAGAAUUAACUGCUUUGGACACAGCUACUGUUGAGGCAGAAUGGCUGCGUGAGCUCUUGAUGGACUUGCCGGUUGUUGAAAAACCUGUACUGGCUAUUCUAAUGAAUUGUGAUAAUCAAACACGUGAAAAGACGUUUGAAGUCUGUCAGGAAGUUGAGAAACUCCGGAGUAAUAACUGUUACGUAUAUACAAACAGACAAAAACCUGGCAGAUCCCUUUACAAAGGGACUAUCACGAAAUGUGAUAGAUAUUGCAUCGAGGGAGAUGGGUAUGAGACCCAUAGAUGUUACACCAUAGUAGUAACCCAACCUUUGUGA
rnacentral:rRNA from 1 species